CCUGUACUCUGACGACCGCCGCGUGCUCAGCCCAUUUAUGCAUACAGACACUGAAAGGAUCUCGCAAAGUCCAAUGCCGUAUUCGGCUGUGCAGGCUCCGUGUCCGGCUGUGCAGGCUGCAACCACCGGCAAAGCAUUUAUAGGGAAGCUUGGGACAUAACGAUAGGCUAAUUUACUUCCAUCCAAAAUCCAAACACUUAACAAGAUAAUGCAUCGCAUCAAAUAUUUAGACACGUGCUUACAGAAAUAAAUGUAAACAUAAAUAAAAGCUAACUACAUAAUUUUAUCGCAAUUUUCAAGACGAAACUUUUCAAACUAGUUAUAAAAUGAUUGGAUAAUAAUUACCAUAAAAAAACGAAAAUAGUACAUAGUUAGAAAAAAAAAUCGGGAAUGAACUAAAAAAGACUAUGAAGGAGCAGUAAAGCUAGCAUGUACGUGUCUUGCCCAUACGGACGCUAACAUAGCGUAGGUGAUACGGGUGUAAAAGGUGAUUAAGUAAUUCAAAUAUAACAUUGUGGGUACGUUUAUUAUCGUAAUUUAGUAUGACGAAACCAUGGCCAUAUAGCAGCAGUACGACCGAGGAUACGGAUAAAUAAUCAAUUCAACAGUUAUGAUUAAUUAGGGUCGAAAACAAAAAGAUGCCAUGCAUGAUUUCUAAGUUCUAAGCUAUUAUAAAUAAACAAACAAGUACUCCCUAC
rnacentral:lncRNA from 1 species